rnacentral:lncRNA from 1 species
UCAUAACCAGUAAAACAAAAGAUGAUUUAAUUUGGUGUUGACCCUCCUCCAAGCCAGCAUAUUACCACUCAUAAUUUCCCUAAUCCCAUGGUUUCAAAGGUGAGAAAAGGGAAUUUGAUAUAAACACUUGAUCUCUGCCUUAGUCUGGAAAUCUUCACAGGGAGCCCACACCAGCCCUAUCUCACAGGAGCCAUUCGGAGUAUCAGGAGAGCUGAACCUCUGGCACUAUAUGAAGGACAAAGUUUGAAUUAAGUUUGGGUGGCUGCUUAAGUGUUCUCCAAACUGGAAAAAAAUAUCAGGGCAGCAAUUUAGUUCCAGAGCAGUAUUCAAGUUCCAUUGCUUACCAUAAGUCUUCCCAGACCAGAAAACAGUAGCAGGGCAAUGAGUUGCUCUAGUGCAAUGUUUUAGUUCUAAUCUUCACUAUAAGUCCUCCCUAGAACAAGGAGAAACAGCAGGCUACUGUUUAAGUUCCAAUAUUAAGUAAUUAAGGUCUACCACCACCAAUGAACACCUGCAAAACCUGGAAGAGGUCGCAGUCUCCUUAUAUUGCAGGUAUCAGUGUAAAAAAACAAAGAAUGUGUAAACUCACAGAGCUCCAGCAAGGGACCCAGAAGAAUUGAAGAUCUGUCAAACACUGGAAAGAGAAUUCAGAAUUAUCCUCUUAAAGAAGUUCAGGACAUCACAAGAAAAUGCAGAGAAGAAAUUAAAUAAAAUUUAGAAAACAAUCUAGGAACAAAAUGAUAAAUUUG